rnacentral:ncRNA from 1 species
AGCCGCACCUCAAGGUGAAAGAAAAACGUUGGAUGUAGUGUUGGUAAUCGUGCAAGGGCACGGCUGAAGACAGAGAGAAACAAAAAGCAGACAA